rnacentral:lncRNA from 1 species
AACCCUAAAACUAGCAGCCUAUCAUUUUCUAAGAAAAAAAACUGAAGAACCCUAAAGGUUCUCUGCGCCGCUCCAUGCCUAAGCUAACCGAAGGCCACUUUUCUUCCAACUGACCCCGAUUGCGACGGAGUAGAAGGAAAGUCGGCCACCAGGUAAGCUUUGACCCUCUAACUCCUAUUUUCUUUUAUUUUUGCACCGAAUAUGGAAUAGAUAUAAAAAAAAUCGAAGCAGAAGAAAGAACGAAAAGAAAAAAGAAAUCUGCAAUCACCUUUCCAGUUUUUUUGAUUUCUCUGAAUUUUUUUUGCAUUCAAUAUGCGUGUGUGUGUAACCACCCUACAUAUUCAAAAUCGGCUUUUUUAUAGCCAAAAAUUACAGAGAAUUUUUAUCUUUUUCUCUAUCCUAUUCGCUGUAUUUUUUGUUAUUGUUGCCCUUUUCUUUGCUGUUGCUAUAUGUUUUGUUGCUUGUUUGUUUGUCCCUCUUGCAGGUACGGCGUACGGAGGGUGGACAUGGCGUGUGGAGGCGUCGCGCGCGUGCGAUGGAGAGUAGAGAGGUGCUACUGCUGUAGCGCUGAGAGCCAUUGCUGCUAGGGCUUCAGCUUCUGAUUUUGCAUCGUUGGGCCACAUAGUAAUUGGGCCACCUUUUUAGGAAUUGGGUCUGGGUUAGAUUUGGUUUCAAUUGUAUGGGUAUUGGGUUGAAAACGAUUUGGGCCAUGUUGGGCCCAUGUAUUUGGACUUUGGACUUUUUAAAUUUUGAUUUGGUUUAUUUAUUACGGGCCGGACAAAUAUUGGGUAUUACAAGCCCCUCCUUGUUUUCCCAUCUUUUUUAUUUCUCAAAUUUAAUUACAUAUUUUAUAUUUUAAAAUAAUAUUGAACAACUUAUCGUAUUUUUUUAUUAUUAUUUCAUCACUCACAUUAUUAUUAAAAUUUUAAGUUUAAUAUGCACAAUUAAAUUAGAUUUUCUUUGAUAAAAU